rnacentral:rRNA from 1 species
CUACGGGGGGCUGCAGUGGGGAAUAUUGCGCAAUGGGGGAAACCCUGACGCAGCAACGCCGCGUGGGUGAUGAAGGCUCUAGGGUCGUAAAGCCCUGUCAGAGGGGAAGAACCGACAAGGUAGGUAAUGAUCUUGUCCUGACGGUACCCUCAAAGGAAGCACCGGCUAAGUCCGUGCCAGCAGCCGCGGUAACACGGGGGGUGCGAGCGUUGUUCGGAAUCACUGGGCGUAAAGCGCGUGUAGGUGGAUUGUUAAGUCAGAUGUGAAAGCCCAGGGCUCAACCUUGGAACUGCAUUUGAAACUGGCAAUCUAGAGUGCGGGAGAGGGAAGGGGAAUUCCCGGUGUAGAGGUGAAAUUCGUAGAUAUCGGGAGGAAUACCGGUGGCGAAGGCGCCUUCCUGGACCGACACUGACACUGAGACGCGAAAGCGUGGGUAGCAAACAGGAUUAGAUACCCGUGUAGUC